GCACUGCUGAGGAGUCCCACAAUAGGAUGAAACGAGCGUCCAGUGU
rfam:Schistosoma mansoni, Puerto Rico, WGS project CABG01000000 data, contig: 0071